CAAUUUUGGCCAUGAGAGAGCACUCAGCGUCUCUCACAGAGAUGCUGGUGUUAAUUAUGGGAAAACAGCUGGACCAGACUCCCAAUUAGUGGAUGAAAGAUCUUUUGACUACAAUUUUUUGGAAAUGGAACCUUUGAGUAAUUUGAAAUGGUAUGAUUUCUGUUUUAGGGAAGUACUUCCUGGAAGAGUCGUAAGGAGUGUGGGUGAUCUUGAGUCUGCUGUUUCUGCAGAGACCAAAGAA
rnacentral:misc_RNA from 1 species